rnacentral:rRNA from 1 species
CCUACGGGCGGCAGCAGUGGGGAAUAUUGGACAAUGGGGGGAACCCUGAUCCAGCCAUGCCGCGUGUGUGAAGAAGGCCCUCGGGUUGUAAAGCACUUUCAGUGAGGAAGAACGCCUGGUGGUUAAUACCCAUCAGGAAAGACAUCACUCACAGAAGAAGCACCGGCUAACUCCGUGCCAGCAGCUGCGGUAAUACGGAGGGUGCGAGCGUUAAUCGGAAUUACUGGGCGUAAAGCGCGCGUAGGUGGCUUGAUAAGCCGGUUGUGAAAGCCCCGGGCUCAACCUGGGAACGGCAUCCGGAACUGUCAAGCUAGAGUGCAGGAGAGGAAGGUAGAAUUCCCGGUGUAGCGGUGAAAUGCGUAGAGAUCGGGAGGAAUACCAGUGGCGAAGGCGGCCUUCUGGACUGACACUGACACUGAGGUGCGAAAGCGUGGGUAGCAAACAGGAUUAGAUACCCGGGUAGUC